rnacentral:rRNA from 1 species
GACGUAGGAGGCGAGCGUUGUCCGGAUUCAUUGGGCGUAAAGAGCACGCAGGCGGUUUGGCAAGUCGGAUGUGAAAACCCGAAGCUCAACUUCGGGCCUGCAUCCGAAACUGCCCGACUAGAGGUAGGUAGGGGGAGAUCGGAAUUCCUGGUGUAGCGGUGAAAUGCGCAGAUAUCAGGAGGAACACCGGUGGCGAAGGCGGGUCUCUGGGCAGUUACUGACGCUGGAGGAGCGAAAGCGUGGGGAGCGAACAGG